rnacentral:rRNA from 1 species
UUUAAUUUACAUCAAGCAAACCAAUAAAAGUGAUUAAGCUAGUAAAAGAUAAACCUCUACCUUCGGUUGGGGCGACCACGGAGUAAAAAACAACCUCCAAGCGGAACGGGCACAGCCCUAAAACCAAGAGAAACAUCUCUAAGCCUCAGAACACCUGACCAAAGACGAUCCGGCCUAUAAGCCGAUCAACGAACCAAGUUACCCUAGGAAUAGCAGCGCCAAUCACA